rnacentral:lncRNA from 10 species
ACCAGGUGUGGUGGUACACGCCUGUAAUCCUAGCUACUCAGGAGGCUGAGGCAGGAGAAUCACUUGAACCCAGGUGGCAGAGGUUGCAGUGAGCCAAGAUCACACCACUGCACUUCAGCCUGGGCAACAGAGCAAGACUCCAUCUCAGGGAAAAAAAAAGAGAUGGAGGGUCACUCUAUCGCCCAGGUUGGAGUGCGGUGGCACAAUUUUGGCUCACUGCAACCUCCGCCUCCCAGGUUCAAGCGAUCCUCCUGC